rnacentral:rRNA from 1 species
GUUAAGCGACUAAGCGUACACGGUGGAUGCCCUGGCAGUCAGAGGCGAUGAAGGGCGUGCUAAUCUGCGAUAAGCGCCGGUAAGGUGAUAUGAACCGUUAUAACCGGCGAUACCCGAAUGGGGAAACCCAGUGUGAUUCGUCACACUAUCAUUAACUGAAUCCAUAGGUUAAUGAGGCGAACCGGGGGAACUGAAACAUCUAAGUACCCCGAGGAAAAGAAAUCAACCGAGAUUCCCCCAGUAGCGGCGAGCGAACGGGGAGGAGCCCAGAGCCUGAAUCAGCAUGUGUGUUAGUGGAAGCGUCUGGAAAGGCGCGCGAUACAGGGUGACAGCCCCGUACACAAAAGCGCAUGUGCUGUGAGCUCGAUGAGUAGGGCGGGACACGUGGUAUCCUGUCUGAAUAUGGGGGGACCAUCCUCCAAGGCUAAAUACUCCUGACUGACCGAUAGUGAACCAGUACCGUGAGGGAAAGGCGAAAAGAACCCCGGCGAGGGGAGUGAAAAAGAACCUGAAACCGUGUACGUACAAGCAGUGGGAGCACCCUUUUGGGUGUGACUGCGUACCUUUUGUAUAAUGGGUCAGCGACUUAUAUUCUGUAGCAAGGUUAACCGAAUAGGGGAGCCGGAGGGAAACCGAGUCUUAAU